rnacentral:piRNA from 1 species
UAAAUAAGCCAUCAUAGUUAA